ensembl:lncRNA
CAGCAGCCCUGGGGGCUGUGGGAAGCCAGGCAGGCAGAGCUGCUGCCGGGUGUGGGACGCUGAGGGCAGCGUGCAUGCAAAGGAUGGAUGGUUGCUAACCCUGCGUGAGUUGGAGGCUGUCACAAAGAGGACUCCCAUCUCUUGCUGCCAGCAGCUAAAAUCAAUACCAUUGCACAGAGGAUGUGAGGGAGGCUCCUGAAGCGGUGCGCUGCGGCCUCCAACAUCAAUCUGUCUCAUUGGACUCAGGUUAGCAGCUCGGUGCUGCCCGGGCAAACUGCUCAGCCAACAAAAGCCAUGCAUCAUUUCACCUGCAUCCCGCUUGGAUUCUGAGAAGGGACCUUUAAAGACCAUCUGGUCCCAUUCCACGCACUGGACAGGAACACCUGCAGGUGCUCAGAGGCCCCCAGCCAGACUGCAGGGAGAUCCUGGGGAUCCCUAUAGGAGCUGGCAGGAAACAUCACACUGGGAAACCCCACCUGGCUGAGGGUCCCCGGGUGGCUGCACUGUUCUCUGAGAAUCACUGUGCUCUCUGCAACCUCUGCCAGCAGUCCUCCCACCACUAUUUAUUGCAGUUUCCAGACCACCUGCAGGCCCCCUGAGCUCUGCGUGAGGGCAGAUUUGCGGCGGCCACGGAUCAAUAUGACCUUCUGUUUUAUGAAUGGGGGAAGGGAAUUUAUUUGGAGGCAGAGCAUCCACAGCACAUCGUGGUUUGGGGCUUCUGUAAGCAAUUAUUGCAAACCUUGCAUCUGGGAGUGAGGACUGCAAGCAGUUCUCUUCGAGGUCAGGGGAUGCAUCAGUUCACUUGUGGGCACUGCCCCGUCCUCCUGUGUGCAACGUGCAGCAGUUUGGGUUGGGCUUGGUGAUCUCGGUCUUCUCCAACCCUAACGAUGCUAUGAUUCUGUGAUCCUAUAACUCUAAGCUGGGUCGGCCCCGACUUGCAGAAAGGCCCCAGAGGAGGUGGGUGUGGGUAUGGGCAGUCAGCGGCUUCGUUGUCUGCAGACAGUCCGAAGGAUUAUCUGCUGGAACACCCAGAACAUGGGGGGCAGUAGGAAGCUCUGAGAUUCCACCUCCCCUCCUUUCCUUCUUCCCAUAGAGCUGUGAACUUCAGCCUCAGGUAAUGGGGCAAAGCAGCGCUGUGCAGAUAUCCUGCCCACGUGGAGCAGCAAUGCAGAAUUUGGCUACGUGUGUUUCUCCACUGCUCCAUCGCUCCCCAUCCCUGUGUCCACUGUCAGAUUUUGUGUCUCAGUUCCUACAGUUACAGAUUCAGGGACUGAAGGAAUAAUGGCUACUGGGACCCCAUCAGGAAAAAAAAAAAAGAAGUGCCGUAAGAUUUUUGGCCAUAAGAGGUUUAAGAACUUCCACAGCUGAACGAAUCAGCGUCCCCUAACUGACAGAGGAUAAUGGAUUUAAUAAAUAGCUAUGAUUA